GGAAGUAUGGGUAGCUUUCGUUUCUCUUUCAUUCUUUUAUUUUUCAAAUUCCUGCCUUCUAAUAUAUGUCAAAUGUGAUAUACUGACAGUUUUACCUAUCAGAAACAUCAUCAAGACCUUGGCACCGUUUCCAUCAGCACAUGGGAAUUAUGGGCCCCAUUCUCCUAACACUCACUUCCUAUAUUUGCCCGGGAUGCUUGCUAAAACUGAGUUCUACACUAAGAAUUUCCAGGGAAGAAACUUGAGAAUUUAUUUUUUAACAAGUCCCUAGGUGAUUUUUUUGUGUGUGUCUGGUGGCCGUUCAGAUAAGUUUAGGAAACUGACUCAGCUAAUUCUCACUUAAAGCUCAGCUCGGUGUCAGCUCUGCUGUCAAAACUUCUCUGUCCAUCUCAGGCACUUAGAAUCUCCCUUCCCUGUAUCCUCCCUGUACCACACACACAACUCCAUUCCUGCUCUUCUAACAAUGCAGCAUAGUUUUUUCUACAUUUUUCUCUCUGGCUGUUUUGCAUAUCUUUGUGAUCUCAUCGAACAAUAGCACCUGGUAGGCCCUCAAUAUCCAUUAUUUAGAUAAAUGCAUGGAAGCUUAGAUAGUCAGAUGGGCUGCUUUUAAAUAAAUGGGGUGAUUCUAAGAAUUCCAUCAGCAUCUAUCUUCAAGCCCCUCAAUAAUGGCACCCCUGGUUGCUUUACAACAGGUGGGAUCAGCCUCUUUUAUUAUCUCUUUAGAAUGAAGCAUGGGAAUAUUCAAUUUAUUCCAAAAUAUAUUGCUUUAGGCUUGGAUAAUGGUCAGAAAAACUGGAAGUAUGAAUAUAUAUUUGAAUCAUCUGGGAAUCUACUGAAACCCAAACUUGCAUUUGAUGAGUAGUGCUUACCCUGGGCCAGGCCACUCAGUGCUUGAGCUGUGCUAUCUAAGAUGGAGGCUCUAAUCACAUGUGGCCUUUGAAGGCUACAUUUAAAGUAAUUGAAAUAAAUCCAGUUCCUCAGUCAUACAUUUCAAGUACUCAAAGGCCACACGUAGCGGCCACUGUAUUGGAAAGUGAAGACAUAGAACAUUUCCAUCAUCACAGAAAGUUCUAUAGGAGAGUGCUGACCUAGAUGAUUCCUCUUUAUCCUUCGAAUCAGAUAGUUCUCUUAUUUAAGGCUUCCCUCAUCCCUCCAAGCCAUAUUCUGUUUGGUUCACAGUGACAGAAAUGUCCUGGGCACCAGGGAUUCAGAGAUGAAGAAAAUGUCAUUGCUGCCCUGGAACAGCUUAAAGCAGGGACUCUCAACUGGGGCAAUUUUGCUGCCUAGGGGACAUUUGGCAGAGACUUUGUAUUGCCAUUAAUAGUGUGGGUGUGUGUGUGUGUCUGUGUUCAUGUGUGUGUUGUGUGUGUCUGUGUGGUAUGUGUGUAUGUGUGCGUGUGUAUUACUGGCACACAGAGGGCAGGGAUCCUGGGUAGAGGGCAGGGAUGAUGCUAAACAUUCUACAAUGCACAAGACGGCUCCCCCUCCCUACCAUCAAAAAUUUGGCCCAAAAUGUCAAUAAUGCCAAAGCUGAGAAACCCUGGCUUGAAGCCUUGUUGGGGAGAGAGACACAGGAGCACAAAGUACCAGUGUCAUGUGGAAAGUGAGCAGACAGUGGGAGAGCACAGCCGUCGGACUGGGAGGAUUCCCAAGCUGAGUCUGGAAGGAGCUGCAUGCCUAGUCACUCCUUCUAUGAUCUAAUAAUGCUUUGCCAAUUACCCUCUACAACACCUAACACUGUGAUGUAUUUUAACCAUCAGUUUACACAUACUUCUCUCCUGUGAGACUGUGAAUUCUUCAAAAGCAGGUACUGUGUUUAAUGAAGUGUGCCCAGGACUUUGCUCAGUGACUGGAUGACACAGUAGGAGUACAAGAAAGUUUGCAUGGGUGAACCGUGGUAGGUGGACAUCGUCUCUCUCACCUCUUCCCAAAUCAAGGAUGAAGUGCAUCUUCAUAAAUCCUGUGAAUUAUUUUGCUACCUCUAGAAGCAUUUUCUAAAACAAGGUGCAGCAAUCAGUUGAGUGAAUUUGUCACCAGAGCUUACGUUUUCUGAAAGAACCCUAUCCUCAGGCAGUUGUUCCUAAGAGGUGAGUUGUGGAUUUAGUUCACAUUCCUUCCUUCGUGGCUUAAAAUGCUCCACAUGCCUGUCUCCCCAACAGCAUCAAUUCACCAUGCAGUACAAUAUCAAGUCAGAACAGCCAAUGCUGAAAAGAGUGACAGUUUCCUUUCAUGAUGCAAUGCACUUGGAGCCAGGGGACAGGGAGACAAUAACUGCAAGGAGAAGUGAUGACAACCCUACUUUAAUAUAGUAGUUCCUUUUGAAUUUUACAGACUUACCCGUUAAUCUCUAGAAUUUUGAAAAAAUUCCUUAAGUGAUGUGAGCAAAUAACACUUUGCCUUGGGUUGGCCUUUUCCUUUCCCUUGAAGAUUCCACAAAUAUGUCAGCGUUGGAAAUGAUCCUUUGGCUUUGAACUAUGUGAAGACCGCAGAAGGACUGGUUGGUAAGCACCCACAUCCUGGGGUGAGAAUCACAUCCAGUUUAUACCUCCCUGUACACACUUGUAUAAAACAACUAUAAGACACACGAGAGAUCUGGAAGCCAGUUCCUCAUAAGUAAGAAUUGGUAAGAGCUCUUAAGCAGCAUGUCUGAGGUUUAAUAACUCGCCCUGUCUGGAGCCUUUUGUGUGUCUCACUUUCUUCUUAGCAAAACAUGAGCAUUACACUCUGUGCUGGAAGAUUCCGUUCCUUCUUCCAGGCUUUUGAUUACCCAAUCCUUCUUUACUUUCACUUCUUGCUCAAAGCAGCUCUUUCUCAGCCAUUUCUAAAAAAGGUUUAUGAGAUGCUGCAGGGCCGUGUCUCUAAAUUGGGCCCUGUGUGCCUAUAUCCUCAUUCUCUGCAGCUGCUGAAUUCUUUCUGUGGGAUCAGCCUUCUUCUAAGUGCUGGGGUGAUGGGAACAUAGCUGUAAACUGAUUUUGACAGGAAGCAUCACUUCCGGCUGGAAACAAGUCCCUGGUUUAUGCAGCACAUGGUACUAACUGUGGAACACUGUUAAACAUGUCUCAUUCCGCCCCCUCCACCAGCAAAAGGCCUUGCUGCUCAGUUGUGCACCAGAUGAUGUGGCAUAUGCACAUACUGGCCACUAAUAACAAAGCCUGACACCAUGCAGUGGACAUCUCUUGGGACCUCAGCCUCUUUCUCCUGGAACUGACCCCAUCCUCCCUUUGCUACAUGAUCACCAUGGGUGGAUUCCCAGCAGCCAUGCUUGUAACAUGCAUCCUGUCCUCUCUGGCCACAGACAACUACAAUACAGAUGAGCAGCCCACCCAAGAUUCCUUCUCUAAGAAUUUAGAACUGGGAAUGGAGGAGAGAAAGAGAGAGAUACUGAUUCUACCAGAGACAAUGGGAUGAGAUAGCAUGGUUGUUGGAACUAUGGCUGGAACUGUAAAGCACAAAUUGGAGAGCAGAUAAAGUUGGUUCACAGAGAGAGAGAAUGAUGAAGCCAUAGGGAUGCAAGUUUCCCUAUGGCUUUCCUCACCCUAACUCUUGUCCUUCCACAGGUCAGGCUGCAUUUGUAUCCUGGGUCCACAAGACAUCGUUUCCUUAAAACCAAUCCCCCUGAUUUUGCUAAGUGUCUGCAAGCCUAAUAUUUCAUGGAUGUUUGACAAGGACCCCGUCUUUAGCUGAACUAAGGAGAAAGUCCUGCAACACACACAUGGAGCUCAGCAAACGGAGGAUGUACCCUGGAAGAAAAGCAGUUGUCUUUGUCAGGCCUCUGAGCCCAAGCUGAGCCAUCAUGUCCCCUGUGACCUGCACGUACACAUCCAGAUGGCCGGUUCCUGCCUUAACUGAUGACAUUCCACCACAAAAGAAGUGAAAAUGGCCUGUUCCUGCCUUAACUGAUGACAUUGUCUUGUGAAAUUCCUUCUCCUGGCUCAUCCUGGCUCAAAAGCUCCCCCACUGAGUACCUUGUGACCCCCACUCCUGCCCGCCAGAGAACAACCCCCUUUGACUGUAAUUUUCCUUUACCUACCCAAAUCUUAUAAAAUGGCCCCACCCCUAUCUCCCUUCACUGACUCUCUUUUCGGGCUCAGCCCGCGUGCACCCAGGUGAUUAAAAGCUUUAUUGCUCACACAAAGCCUGUUUGGUGGUCUCUUUACGCGGACGCACAUGAAAUUUGGUGCUGUGACUCGGAUCGGGGGACCUCCCUUGGGAGAUCAAUCCCCUGUCCUGUUCUUUGCUCCAUGGGAAAGAUCCACCUACGACCUCAGGUCCUCAGACCGACCAGCCCAAGGAACAUCUCACCAAUUUUAAAUCGGGUAAGCGGCCUCUUCUUACUCUCUUCUCCAACCUCUCUCACUGUCCCUCAACCACUUUCUCCUUUCCAGUCUUCAAUCUUUCCCUUCUCUUAAUUUCAAUUCCUUUCAUUUUCUGGUAGAGACAAAGGAGACACGUUUUAUCCGUGGACCCAAAACUCCGGCGCCGGUCACGGACUAGGGAAGGCAGCCUUCCCUUGGUGUUUAAUCAUUGCAGGGAUGCCUGAUUAUUCACCCAGGUUUCAGAAGUGUCAGACCACGCAGGGACACGUCUUGGUCCUUCACCCUUAGCGGCAAGUCCCGCUUUUCUGGGGAAGGGGCAAGUACCCCAACCCCUUCUCUCCGUGUCUCUACCCCUUCUUCACCUUUCUGGGGGGCAAGAAACCCCCAACCCCUUCUCCUUCACCCUUAGCGGCAAGUCCUGCUUUUCUAGGGGAGAGGCAAAUACCCCAACCCCUUAUAUCUCUGCACCCCAUCCCUUAUUUCCCCACCCCAACCCCUUAUAUCUCUGUGCCCCGAUCCCUUAUUUCCACGCCCCAACCUCUUAUAUCUCUGCACCCCGAUCCCUUAUUUCCACGCCCCAACCUCUUAUAUCUCUGCACCCCGAUCCCUUAUUUCCACACCCCAACCUCUUAUAUCUCUGCACCCCGAUCCCUUAUUUCCACGCCCCAACCUCUUAUAUCUCUGCACCCCGAUCCCUUAUUUCCACACCCCGACCUCGUACCUUUGUGCCCCGACCCCUUCUCUGCUUUUCUGGAGGUCAAGAACUCCCCACCCCUUCUCCAUGUCUCUACUCUUUUCUCUGGGCUUGCCUCCUUUACUACGGGCAAGCUUCCACCUUCCAUUCCUCCCUUCUUCUCCCUUAGCCUGUUUUCUUAAGAACUUAAAACCUCUUCAACUCUCACCUGACCUAAAAUCUAAGCAUCUUAUUUUCUUCUGCAAUGCCGCUUGACCCCAAUACAAACUUGACAGUAGUUCCAAAUAGCCAGAAAACGGCACUUUCAAUUUUUCCAUCCUACAAGAUCUAAAUAAUUCUUGUCAUAAAAUGGUCAAAUGGUCUGAGGUGCCUGACAUCCAGGCAUUCUUUUACACAUCGGUCCCUCUCUAGUCUCUGUUCCCAAUGCAACUCAUCCCAAAUCUUCCUUCUUUCCCUCCCACCUGUCCCCUCAGUCCCAACCCCAAGCGUCGCUGAGUCUUUCUAAUCUUCCUUUUCUACAGACCCAUCUGACCUCUCCCCUCCUCCCCAGGCUGCUCCUCGCCAGGCCGAGCUAGGUCCCAGUUCUUCCUCAGCCUCUGCUCCUCCAUCCUAUAAUCCUUUUAUCACCUCCCCUCCUCACACCCGGUCUGGCUUACAGUUUCGUUCCAUGACUAGCCCUCCCCGACCUGCCCAGCAAUUUACUCUUAAAAAGGCGACUAGAGCUAAAGGCAUAGUCAAGGUUAAUGCUCCUUUUUCUUUAUCCCAAAUCAGAUAGCAUUUAGGCUCUUUUUCAUCAAAUAUAAAAAACCCAGCCCAGUUCAUGGCUCGUUCGGCAGCAACCCUGAGACGCUUUACAGCCCUAGACCCUAAAAGGUCAAAAGGCCGUCCUAUUCUCAAUAUACAUUUUAUUACCCAAUCUGCUCCCGACAUUAAAUAAAACUCCAAAAAUUAAAUUCUGGCCCUCAAACCCCACAACAGGAUUUAAUUAACCUUGCCUUCAAGGUGUACAACAAUAGAAAAAAGUUGCAAUUCCUUGUCUCCACUGUGAGAGAAACCCCAGCCACAUCUCCAGCACACAAGAACUUCCAAACGCCUGAACCGCAGCGGCCAGGCUUUCCUCCAGAACCUCCUCCCCCAGGAGCUCACUACAAGUGCCAGAAAUCUGACCACCAAGCCAAGGAAUGCCUGCAGCCCAGGAUUCCUCCUAAGCCGUGUCCCAUCUCUGCGGGACCCCACUGGAAAUCGGACUGUUCAACUCACCUGGCAGCCACUCCCAGAGCCCGUGGAACUCUGGCCCAAGGCUCUCUGACUCCUUCUCGGCUUAGCGGCUAAAGACUGACACUGCCCGAUCGCCUCGGAAGCCCCGUAGACCAUCACGGACGCCGAGCUUUAGGUAACUCUCACAGUGGAGGGUAAGUCCGUCCCGUUCUUAAUCAAUAUGGAGGCUACCCACUCCACAUUACCUUCUUUUUAAGGGCCUGUUUCCGUUGCCUCCAUAACUGUUGUGGGUAUUGACAGCCAAGCUUCUAAACCUCUUAAAACUCCCCAACUCUGGUGCUAACUUAGACAAUACUCUUUUAAGCACUCCUUUUAGUUAUUCCCACCUGCCCAGUUCCCUUAUUAGGCCGAGACACUUUAACUAAAUUAUCUGCUUCCCUGACUAUUCCUGGAUUACAGCUACAUCUCAUUGCUGCCCUUCUUCCCAAUCCAAAGCCUCCUUUGCGUCCUCCUCUUGUAUUCCCCCACCUUAACCCACAAGUAUAAGAUACCUCUACUCCCUCCUUGGUGACCGAUCAUGCACCCUUUACUAUCUCAGUAAAACCUAAUCACCCUUACCCUGCUCAAUGCCAAUAUCCCAUCCCACAGCAUGCUUUGAAAGGAUUAAAGCCUGCUAUCACUCGCCUGCUAUAGCACGGCCUUUUAAAGCCUAUAAACUCUCCUUAAAAUUCCCCCAUUUUACCUGCCCUAAAACCAGACAAACCUUACAAGUUAGUUCAGGAUCUGUGCCUUAUCAACCAAAUUGUUUUGCCUAUCCACCCCAUGGUGCCAAACCCAUAUACUCUCCUAUCCUCAAUACCUCCCUCCAUAAUCCAUUAUUCUGUUCUGGAUCUCAAACAUGCUUUAUUUAUUAUUCCUUUGCACCUGUCAUCCCAUCCUCUCUUCGCUUUCACUUGGACUGACCCUGACACCCAUCAGGCUCAGCAAAUUACGUGGGCUGUACUGCCCCGCAAGGCUUCACAGACAGCCCCCAUUACUUCAGUCAAGCCCAAAUUUCAUCCUCAUCUGUUACCUAUCUCGGCAUAAUUCUCAUAAAAACACACGUGCUUUCCCUGCUGAUCAUGUCCGAUUAAUCUCCCAAACCUCAAUCCCUUACAAAACAACAACUCCUUUCCUUCCUAGGCAUGGUUAGUGUGGUCAGAAUUCUUACACAAGAGCCAGGACCGCACCCUGUAGCCUUUCUGUGCAAACAACUUGACCUUACUGUUUUAGCCUAGCCCUCAUGUCUCCGUGCAGCGGCUGCUGCUGCCCUAAUACUUUUAGAGGCCCUCAAAAUCACAAACUAUGCUCAACUUACUCUCUACAUUUCUUAUAACUUCCAAAAUCUAUUUUCUUCCUCAUACCUGACGCAUAUACUUUCUGCUCCCCGGAUCCUUCAGCUGUACUCACGCUUUGUUAAGUCCCAAAAUUACCAUUGUUCCUGGCCCAGACUUCAAUCCGGCCUCCCACAUUAUUCCUGAUACCACACCUGACCCCCAUGACUGUAUCUCUCUGAUCCACCUGACAUUCGCCCCAUUUCCUCAUAUUUCCUUCUUUCCUGUUCCUCAUCCUGAUCACGCUUGAUUUAUUGAUGGCGGUUCCACCAGGCAUAAUCACCACACACCAGCAAAGGCAGGCUAUGCUAUAGUACAAGCUACUAGCCCGCCUCUUAGAACCUCUCAUUUGCUUUCCGUCGUGGAAAUCUAUCCUCAAGGAAAUAACUUCUCAGUGUUCCAUCUGCUGUUCUACUACUCCUCAGGGAUUAUUCAGGCCCCCUCCCUUCCCUACACAUCAAGCUCGAGGAUUUGCCCCCACCCACGACUGGCAAAUUAGCUUUACUCAACAUGCCCCAAGUCAAAUAACUAAAAUACCUCUUAGUCUAGGUAGACACUUUCACUGGAUAGGUAGAGGCCUUUCCUACAGGGUCUGAGAAGGCCACCACAGUCAUUUCUUCCCUUCUGUCAGACAUAAUUCCUCAGUUUAGCUUUCCCACCUCUAUACAGUCUGAUAACAGACCAGCUUUUAUUAGUCAAAUUAGCCAAGCAGUUUUUCAGGCUCUUAGUAUUCAGUGAAACCUUUAUAUCCCUUACGGUCCUCAGUCUUCAGGAAAAGUAGAAUAGACUAAGGGUCUUUUAAAAACACACCUCACCAAGCUCAGCCACCAACUUAAAAAGGACUGGACAAUACUUGUACCACUUUCCCUUCUCAGAAGUCAGACCUGUCCUCAGAAUGCUACAGGGUACAGCCCAUUUGAGCUCCUGUAUAGUUGCUCCUUUUUAUUAGGCCCCAGUCUCAUUCCAGACACCAGACCAACUUAGACUGUGCCCCCAAAAAACUUGUCAUCCCUACUGUCUUCUGUCUAGUCAUACUCCUAUUCACCAUUUUCAACUACUCAUACAUGCCCUGCUCUUGUUUACACUGCCAGUUUACACGGUUUCUCCAAGCCAUCACAGCUGAUAUCUCCUGGUGCUAUCCCCAAACCACCACUCUUAACUCUUAAAGUGAAUAAAUAAUCUUUACUGGCAAGGCUAUGCUGAAACUCCUUAGGCACUCUCUAAUUAGAUGUCCUGGGUCCUCCCAAUUCUUUGUCCUUUAAUACCUGUUUUUCUUCUUCUCUUAUUCCGUUUAGUUUUUAAUUCAUACAAAACUGUAUCCAGGCCAUCACUAAUAAUUCUAAAUGACAAAUGUUUCUUCUAACAACCCCACAAUAUCACCCCUUACCACAGAAUCUUCCUUCACCUUAAUCUCUCCCACUCUAGGUUCCCAAGCUGCCCCUAAUCCCGCUCAAAGCAGCCCUGAGAAACAACGCCCAUUAUCUCUCCAUACCAUCCCCCAAAAUUUUCGCCAUCCCAACACUUUACCACUAUUUCACUUUAUUUUUCUUAUUAAUAUAAGAAGACAGGAAUGUCAGGCCUCUGAGCCCAAGCUGAGCCAUCAUGUCCCCUGUGACCUGCACGUACACAUCCAGAUGGCCGGUUCCUGCCUUAACUGAUGACAUUCCACCACAAAAGAAGUGAAAAUGGCCUGUUCCUGCCUUAACUGAUGACAUUGUCUUGUGAAAUUCCUUCUCCUGGUUCAGCCUGGCUCAAAAGCUCCCCCACUGAGUACCUUGUGACCCCCACUCCUGCCCGCCAGAGAACAACCCCCUUUGACUGUAAUUUUCCUUUACCUACCCAAAUCUUAUAAAAUGGCCCCACCCCUAUCUGCCUUUGCUGACUGUCUUUUCGGACUCAGCCCGCGUGCACCCAGGUGAUUAAAAGCUUUAUUGCUCACACAAAGCCUGUUUGGUGGUCUCUUUACAUGGACGCACAUGAAAAUCAUCAUUCCUGUUUUACAGAUGAAGCAACUGAGGUCCAGAGAAGUUAAACGACCUUCCUAAGAUUACAUAGCUUAGUAAGUGGCAGAACCACGGCUGGAAGCCAGGUCCUUCCUCACGCAAGUCCUGGCUCAUUCAUUCCUUUUCCAAAGACUUGCUGAGCACCUUCUAGGUGCCAGAUGCGGUGCUGGCUCCUGGGGACAUGGGAGUGAACAGGCCAGGCGUGGCCCUGAACCAUCAAAUAGACAACCACAGAAAUAACAACGUGAGUUAAAAUGAGAUUAUGAAGGAGAGACACAGGUUUCUACAAUGGUUUAGUAGAGGGAUCUCUAACCAAGUUUGGAGAGUUGAGAAAGUCUCUAUGAGGCAGUCACAUCCAUGUAAGCUAAGAUCUGAAAGACAAAAGUUGUUAUCCAGGAGAGUGGUAGCAGGGAGAGCAUUCCAGAUGCAGGGAAUAGCUUGGGACGUUUGUGGAAGAGAAAAAUCUGUUAACGUGAUUGUAGGGUAGGGUGGAAGAAAGGAGAAAUGGAGCAAGAUGAGGCUAGGGAGGCAGGCAGGGGCCAGACCACGAACUGCCUUAAAGCUCUGCUUAAAAAUGUUUGCCACGAUUUGAAGAGUAAUGGGAAGCCUUGAAGGUUUUUAACCAGAAGAGUCUUAUAUUUAGAUUUGUUAUUUUUUAAAUAUCACACUGGCUGCUGUUUAGGAAUGAUGCUGGAGGCUGAGGAAGAUAAGGGUGGAAAGUGGGCAAUAAAUCAGGAGCUGUUGCAACAGUCCCAGCAAAGGAUAAUGGUGAAUGUAAUGGCAAUGGGGAUUUGAGGAAGCAGGGGGGCCUCGUGGCUGAUUGGAUGUGGUGUUGGUGAGGGAGGAGGGGUCACAGAUUUCCAUCCUCCCCUGGGUGGGUGUUUCUAUCUCCCAGGCCAGGCUUCUUGUGUUUGCUUUCCUUCUUGAAGAACAAAGACAAAACUGGGCCCUUCCACACAGUAGCUGGAACACAAAGGAAGAUCAGCCAAGCCUCAACAUAAUCUCAUAAAAAUUCUUCAAAUAUCCCAUUGUUAUGGAUUCAUACAUCAGGAAAGCAGGUAAAAUAUUUCACCUUGAUGCUCACCUAGAUGGUCAGACUCUUUGAGGAAGACAUCAAACUUUUCCCCAGAAAGAAAAAAUAAAUAACUUUUUAGGCUAUACAAAAGGGUCAAUGUCAUGUUACAUAAGAUGCUCAAACUCCUGUCCUGAUGUUAAGUCCACUGGUCUUACCACAGCUUCUGAACACCAAGACUGCUGCUGUGACAGUGACAAGAGAAUUAUUUAGAAUUAAAAAACAAUUGUCCUUACAUUUUCUCCUCAAAAUUCUAGGGGAGAAAGAGCUUCCAAGUAAGCAGAGCCAAGGCACUAUUGAGAGUGACAGACUGGAAAGAAAGGAAUUAAGUGGCCUUUAGCUCCUGUCUGUUGGAGAGUGGUGUAGUAGAAAAUACUCAGGCUUUGGAAUCUGAGCUGGGUUCAGAUCCUGCUUCUCUCAUUUACUAGCUGCAUGUAGAUGAGUGUCUUAAACUGCUUUUUCUGUGUCACAAAUAACAAUUUAAAAAACCUCUAUCUCACAGGUUAUUAUAAAAAGUAAGACAUGCAUUCAAGGGUAGCAUAGUACUUGGCACAGAGGAAAAACAUUCAACAGGUGUGAGAGACAAUGUUGUCAAUGUGCUAUAUGCAAGGAAAAAUGUUUUUAGGUAUUUUUUGACUCUUUGAUGCUGAAUGGAAAAUUCUUCACUGUCAUUGGCAAUAAUGGAGAAGAUAGUUUGCAAUUGGAGGCUCAUAAAACAAGUAACUGGAUUUUCAGAAAAGUUAAGUAUUUGUUGAAUCUAUAAUGCACUAAUCGUUUUGUAAGGUGAUGUAAGAGACUUAAAGAGGCAUUAAGAUACAAACAUAGAGACUAGUGGGUGAGACAUGAAAGCAAAGACCUAGGAGAAGGAAGCUCAUCUAGGAAGGAAGCUCCUUAGAUCUAGCUUGGCUGAGUUGCAAGCGAGACUGGAGAAGGUAAGUGCUCUCAGAAACAAGAAUUGCUGUCUGGCAGGGCCUGAAUGAUAAGAUCUACUCUUCCCCUGUCCAAAUGCAACCCCUAAAAGCCAGUUCAGAAUAAAUAAGGAAGAAUAUUUUUUUCAGAGCAAUUAAGAGUCAUUAUGAAGUAGGUCAGGAUAAAAUAUGGCAGCUUCAGGCUGUGUGCGAUUACUGCUCUGAUAUUUAUCUGCAAAGCAGGAGUCAUUUAUCCUAUUCUAAAAUAAAUAACUCGGCCAGGCAUGGUGGCUCAUGCCUGUAAUCCCAACACUUUUGGAGGCCAAGGCAGGUGGAUCACCUGAGAUCAGAAGUUCGAGACCAGCCUGGCCAACAUGGUAAAACCCUGUCUCUACUAAAAAUACAAAAAUUAGCCAGGCAUGGUGGUGGGGAUCUGUAAUUCCAGCUACUCGGGAGGCUGAGGCAGGAGAAUUGCUUAAACCCAGGAGGUGGAGGUUGCAAUGAGCCGAGAUUGUGCCACUGCACUCCAGCCUGGGUGACAGAGCAAGACUGUGACUCAAAAAAUAAAUAUAUAAAUAAAUAAAAUAAACAACUCAAUGAGUUUUCAACAACAACCAAAAAAUCAGCUUGAGAAAUAGUUUUCAGACAAACUUAGCCUGAGUAGACCCACCCUGAGAGAUCUGAGGGCUCUACUGAGGCAGGAGACUAGGGCCUGGAGGCAGGGAACAUAAAGCCAAUCCACACUGACUUUACUAAAUCAAAUGAAAGCACCUUAGCAAUGACAGGAAUGUGAAUGGUUUUGUAAAUUCCCUUCAUCCUCUCCAUUCAUACCAUUUCCACUUUGUAACUUCACUUUCAUCCUCUCCAUUUACAUAGAUCACACACCAAGUAACAUCCUCUCCAUUUACAGUAGGGCACGUUCUGAGUAAAUGACUCUGUGACUUCACUUUAUUCACUUCAUUUACAUAGAAUAUUCGCCAAGUGACCAACGGGAAACCUCUAGAGCAUUGAAACCCCAGAAAAUUCUGUAAGCCGGGCUCUUGAGCCUCUAUGAUUGGGCCUCUCCCACACUGUGGCGUGUACUUUUAUUCUCAAUAAAUCCCUGCUUUUGCUUUCCUUGCCUCAUUUGUACAUUUUGUCAACUUCUUCAUUUGAGAUGCCAAGAACCUGAACACAUUCUACUGGUAACAUAUAUUUUGGCGAGCCAGCCUGGAGACAAGGUAGGCCCAAAGUUUGGGAUUUAUUUUUCUUUCCCCUUUUACAUACACGGAAACCUUUUUCUCUCUCUUUUUCCUUUCCAACUUGGGACCCUCCGUGAUCAGUGCCUAAACAUAGAGACAACUGCAAGUUUCCGGCCAGGGCCACUCUCUGGUGAAACCUAAAGGUUUCCAUGUGACGCAUCUGACCACCACCACCCGGCUGGGUAAGCGACCUGAGUCCUUUUCGUUGGUUUUGUUUUUCUGAGUCCUAUUCCUUUCUCCCUUUUACUGAGUUAUUUUUCUUUUUCCUGUUUCGGUCUUUCAGCUACUCCUAGUAGCUCCCGGGUAAUUGAGGACAGCUGGCCAGGGCCACUCUCCGGUGCUUUCUGAAGGCCAAGAAAUGAAAAGGGAUGGCUGCCCUGCCCAGAAGGGGGAAGGACUUUUUUCUAUCUCUCCGGUUAGAGUUCCUCAUCCCAACAUGUGACGCAAUUGCUGUGGCAGCUCAUCCAGGGUGAACUCACACAUGUUUCAGACAACUUAAACCUUCUUUCCUCAUGCCAAAUUUUUCCCUUCCUCCAUUCAGCUGUCUAAGGACAAGAUAGAGGGUUCAGAUAUGUCAUAAAUUGUGAGAAUUAGGGAAAUUAACAAAGGGGAUUUAUGCAGGAACUGACGUGUAGGUUUACUGCCCAAAUUUAGAGAGUUAAAGGGUUGCUUUAAGUGGGAUAGAAAAUCCUCAAGGAAAAGUUAACAGUAGGUCCUCAGUGGAGGAGGGAACCAUUCCAAAGGGGUGCCGGCACCCAUCUAAGGUUGGAGACGUGCAACAGACUAAGUCAGGCCCUUAAGGGGGAAGACCUCAGGGACCCCAUGCUGGGCCCAGAAUUUUUCCAGGGGAAUGCCCCGGGUAAAAUUUGGGUCACCUAAUAAACCCUCCACUUUUCAAAGUCCUCUUCUCUUUUCCAGACCACUAUGGGCAACUUCCUGUCUAUUCUACCUGGUGUCACUGUGGACAACUUCCUAUCUGUUCCACCUGACUCACCGCUUGGCUACAUCCUCCACCAUUGGGAUGAAUUUGACCCUAACAAUCUAAAGAAAAGGCAUAUGAUUUUUUACUGCAAUAUUGUUUGACACAAUUAUGAGCUGCCCAAUCCGGAACAAUGGGCAGUCAAUGGUAGCCUUAACUACGAUACCAUCCUGUAUCUAGACCUAUUUUGCAAGAGGCAGGGCAAAUGGUCAGAAGUCCCAUAUAUACAGGCCUUCAUGAUCCUAUACGAAGACCUAAGAAUCUAGGAAACUCCCGGAACCCAUCCCCCGAAGGAAAGUUCUGGGGCAGAACUAGAUAUUAUAGAUGAACCCCCUUUUACAAGGGAUACCUGUCUCUCAGAGUGAGCAGUGACUGUCCCCAUAUAACCCCUCACCAAGUGCUCCUGAGGCUGAAACCCAGGGGCAAACAUGGGGAACCCUACUAAGUCCCCCUCACACUUGGAGGGGGAACACCGUAUUCAACUGUCUAUCCAGCCCUGCUACUCUCAGGGAAAUAGCAGGGGCUGCGGGGCCAAUCCUAGUGCGGGUCCCCUUCUCUAUAAUUGAUAUACAACAAUGUAAGGAAAAGCUAGGAAGCUAUUCUGAGGAUUCCGGGAAGUUUGCAGAUGGGUUCCAAACUUUGACCUUAGCCUUUGAUCUCUCAUGGAGAGACGUUCAAUUCACUCUAGCAACCUGUUACACCUCCUUGGAAAAGGAACGAAUCUUUGAGGCUGCCCUCCGAGAAGUGGAUGAAUUAUUCACCCCAAACCGUAAAGGCAGUCACCCAGGCCCAGCCACAGUUCCCACUACGCAUCCUAAUUGAGACCAAGACACCCCCGCAAGAAGGAACAACUGGGUUAAAUUUCUUGAGGCUCUUGGAGGAAUGAGAAAGGGAAUAACUAAGGCAGUAAAUUAUGAUAAAGUAAGGCAGAUUACACAAGGCAGGGAGGAAAACCCAGCUGUGUUUUAUGGCAGGCUGCGGGAAGCCUUUAAAAAAAUAUACUAAUUUGGACCCUUCCUCUCCUGAAGGCAAGUUAUUAAUGGCACAACGUUUCAUUAGCCAAUCCACACCAGACAUUAGACGUAAGCUCCAAAAGCUACACAUGGGGCCACAAACUAACCAAAAUCAGCUUCUUGGUACUGCCUUCAUGGUGUAUAACAAUUGUGACCUGGGGGAAGGAGAAGGGAAACAGUAAAGAAAAACGGCAAGCCAAAAUUAUGUUAGCCAUCACUGGUGAUGCCCUAAAUGCACAAAGAUUGUCCAAGGGAAACUCAAAGGGCCAUAAGGAUAAUGCCAGCAAAGGCUCCUGCUUCAAAUGCAAGAAAAGUGCGAUUGGGCACAGGAAUGCACUAAGCCCCCGCCAGUCCCCUGCCGUCGAUGUAAAAGCACCAGUUGUGGCUCCUGGCCCUGGAGAAUUGACUGUCCCUGCUCCCACCAAGGGGCUCAGUCAGUCAAAACUCUGGCAGUGCACAAGGAGGAAUCAGAUGAAGACUGAAGGGGCCUGGGGCCUUCCUCACUGCCCCGUCUAGGAACAUCGUAAUUACUACUGAGGAACCCUGGGUAACUCUGGACAUCAUGGGCACCCAAAUUCAGUUUUUAUGUGAUACCAAGGUGAGUUAUUCUGUACAACUGCUUAUGCAGGAAAACUUUCCUCCCGGUCCAUGAGUGAUAUCGGAUGGAAGGGAAGCCACAAACAAGAUUCUUACUCCUCCUUUGGUUUGUCAAUUUGAGAAACAAAUCUUCCAACAGGAAUUUUUAGUAGUACCAAGCUGCCCAAUUCCUCUGUUGGAAAGAGAUAUUAUGGUGAAAAUAGUGACACUACUGCAAUUUAAGCAUCACCCGGUGAAACUGCUAAUAGUAAGAAAUAAGGCAAUGUCCCAGACCAUGUCAAUAAACAGGUUAACCCACUGGCAUGGUAUACUGGAAAACCAGGGAAGUCUAAAACAGCAGUGCCAGUCAAAAUACAGCUUAAAGACCCCAGCCAUUUUCCCAAUGGAAAACAAUACCCAGUUGAGCAGGAAGCAAGCAAAGGUCUAGCUCCCAUAGUUGAGAUAUUACUUACCCAUGGACUCUUAAAACCCUGCAAUUCUCCCUGCAAUACCCCCAUCUUACCUGUUCUAAAGCCUGGGGGGAAUACCAGCUAGUACAGAACCUCAGAAUAAUGAAUGAGGCUGUUAUCCCCAUCCACCCAUUGGUGGCAGAUCCAUAUGCCCUCCUGGCUCAGGUGCCAGGGCAUGCAAAAUGGUCCUCAGUCCUAGACCUUUCUUCUCCAUUCCUCUGGCCCCAAGCCCCAGUACCUUUUUGCUUUCGAAUGGGAAAAUCCUAAAACCAGAGAAAAACAAUACACUUGGACAGUGCUUCCUCAGGGCUUUCAGGAUAGCCCCCACUUCUUUGCCUGAGCGUUAGAGCGGGAUCUGAGGGAUUUCCAGUUAGAAAAUGGAAGUAUUCUUCAGUAUGGGGAUGACCUUCUUGUGUGUAGCCCAACUUAGGAGGUUUCUGACCAAAAUACUAUAAAAACUUUGAAUUUCCUGGCAGACAGAGGAUACAAAGUGUCCAAAAAGAAGGCUCAGAUUACCCUCCAAUGGGUCCACUAUUUAGGAUAUGUCUUAACACCCGGAACCCGGCAAAUAUCCCCAGAAGGAGUGCAAGCUAUAUGUGGUUUGGCCGUGCACACCACCCCCAGCCCCCACCCUGACCCACCUCCAAGCAGCAGCUUCGUUCCUUUUUGGGGAUGGCCGGGCUUUGGAGAAUAUGAGUACCAAAUUUUGGGCUCAUAGCAAAGCCCCUAUAUGAAGCAACAAGGGGGCCUGAAAAUGAGCUAAUGGAAUGGACCCCGGAAAUGAGGAAAGCCUUUGCCAAGUUAAAACAGGUUCUCACCCAGGCUCCUGCUCUUGGUAUCCCAGACCUAAUUAAGGCCUCCUUGUAUGUAGCAGAGAAGAGGGGCAUAACUGUGGGAGUGCUAGCCCAGAAAUUAGGAUCAGAACCCAGACCAACCGCCUACUUCUCAAAAAAGUUGGACGGAGUGGCCUCAGGAUGGCCAAGUUGCCUGCGGGCAAUAGCAGCCACUGCUGUUAGUGGAGGAAGCCCCAAAAUCACCCUGGGGCAACCACUGGAAGUUCUAACGCUCCAUCAGGUAAAGUUAGUCUUAGAAAUAAAGGGACACAUCUGGAUGACAGGGGAAAGUUUAACUAAAUACCAGCCCAUGCUCCUAGACAAUCCAGAUAUAACUCUUAAAACCUGCAACACUUUAAAUCCAGCUUCAUUGCUGCCCACAGGCCCAAUAAUUGAUCAUUCCUGUGAGCAGGUCAUUGCACAUACAUAUGUUAGCCAGCCUGAUUUAAAAGAUGAGGCUCUCCCAGAUUCUGAGGAUGACUGGCUCACAGACAGCAGUAGUUCUUUGUCGAAUGGGGAGCACAGAGCUGGACAUGCAGCACUAAAUGAUGACACAAUUACUGAAGCCCAGCCAGUGCCCCCUGGCACAUCAGCACAAAAGGCUAAAAUCAUUGAUGUUACUCAAGCAUUAAUGUUGGGACAAGGGAAAAAACUUAACAUCUAUACAGAUUCUAAAUAUGCAUUCCUGUGGUUCAUGCUCAUACCGCCAUCUGGAAAGAAAGGGGAUUACUUACUAGCAAGCACUCCCCUAUAGAGCAUGGGCCUGAAAUUCUGCAGCUAUUGAAGGCAAUACACCUGCCAAAGGCCAUAGCUAUCAUUCAUUGUAGGGGGCAUCAAAGGGACUUAACCCCUAUAGCACAAGGGAAUGGAAAGGCUGACGGAAGCCAAAGCAAAAGCCCUCAGCGUGCAAUCCCAACAGAUCCUAGCACUGCUUCCUUUCUACAAUUCCCCAAUAGAACCCAAAUACACACCACAGGAAGAACAGCUAAUAAAAAAGCAAGGGAGACAAAAACAAGGAUCCUGGUGGCAUAUGGGGCCAAAAAUAUAUCUCCCUCAGGCAGCCCAGUGGAGAGUUAUAAAAGCCCUGCAUGACUCUUUCCAUGUGGGGAGGGAUGCGGCUCUGGCCAUGGUAAACAAAUUCUUUACUGGGUUUAACUCAGCUUCAAUGGCUAAGCAGGUCAAGCCUGCUCACUGUGUGCAUUUAACAAUCCAGGCAACAAAAUGCCCCCUCUAAUAAAACCAGUCCAAAGGAGGGGAACUUAUCCAGGGGAAGACUGGCAGUUAGAUGUCAUCCAUAUGCCAGCUUGCAGAGGAUACAAGCUUUUGUUAAUACUAAUAGAUACUUUUAGGUUGGGUCAAAGGUUACCCCAGAAAAGGCUAAUGAGGUUCUAAGGUCCUCUUAAAAGAAAUAAUUCCCCAGUUUGGGUUACCUCAGAGUCUCCAAAGUGAUAAUGGCUAAUCCUUUAUCUCCCAAAUAACUCAAGGGGUUGCUAAGGCUCUUGGAAUAAAAUACUAUUUACAUUCAGCCUGGAGGCCCCAAUCCUCUGGGAAAGUGGAAAGGGUUAACCAAACUCUAAAAUAAGCACUAGCUAAACUAUGUCAGGAAACAUCAGAAACUUGGGUUAGCUUAUUGCUCACAGCCCUUUUAAGAAUUUGUAAUACCCCUAGCUCAAAAAUUAACAGAAGCCCAUAUAAAAUGUUAUACAGAAGGCCAUUCUUAACUAGUGAUUUAAUUAUUGACCCAGAAAGAGUUGGUGUAAUUAAAUACCUAGUCAACCCAGAACAAUUCCAGUGGGUUUACAAGAGUUUGGAAUUCAAAGGCUCCACACACUUGGAACUAACCAGCAACCCAAAAUCAGGCCAGGAGAUAGGGUACUUGUUAAAACAUGGAAGGAGGGAUCACUUGCCCAACAAUUACAACCCCAAUAGAAGGGACUUUUUUCAGUAAUACUGGCCACGCCUUCUGUGGUCAAAGUACUAGGAUUAGAUAGCUGGAUACAUCUUUCAAGGAUCAAACCAUCAAUACCAGAAGGUCCAGAAAAGGAACCUGAAGUUCCCAUCAGCCAGUACACCUGUGAACCAGUGGAGGACCUGAAGUACCUGUUUAAAAGAUAGCCAAAAGAUAAGUAAAUGCCUACCAACUUUCUUUGGUAUCUUUGUGGCAUAGUUACUGUGGGCUGGAAAAUAGUAGCCAUUUUUAUCUUUGCAGUUUAAUUGCCUUCUUCCAAAUAGAUAAAAAUCACUUCCUUUGUAAUAAUUAAACAGAAUUUUAAAAAUACAUUUCUAUGACAAAUAUUCCUGAUGGCAUAAGUAUCCACCCCAAGGUUCCCAUUAAAUCUUUUAACCUAAAGUAUUUCCUCUCACCUAGAGAUCAUCGAGUUGUGUGACAAGGGUGCCAGCCACUCCAGGUGAAGACACCACCCCAGGCCAUCAAGGAUCUUCCCUACCUUCACUAAACAGAGCAGGGCUAAAGUUGUGUGAUCCCCAAUAGAUAGGGACUACACCCCAAGUCAGCAGGAAGCAGUUACAGAAGAAAGACCAUUGGUCCCUCUGCUUCCCAUAAAGAUUUAUGGGGAUCACAGCUUUCAGGGGGGAGAUGAGGCAAGAGAAUAGGGCAUGCAGGCAGGGUACUUGAGGCCAAUCCACGCUGACUUCCUAUAACUGAAUUAAAUGAAAGCUCCUCAGCAAUGUGAAUGUGAAUGGCUUUGUAACUUCUUCCUCUCCUUUAAUGCUAUUUCCACUUUGUAACUUCACUUUCAUCCUCUCCAUUUACAUAGAUCACACACCAAGUAACAUCCUCUCCAUUUACAGUAGGGCGCAUUCCGAGUCAAUGACUCUGACUGCACUUCGUUCUCCUCAUUUACAUAGAACAUUCGCCAAGUAACCAAUGGGAAACCUCUAGAGUAUUGAAACUCCAGAAAAUUCCGUAAGUGGGGCUCUUGAGCCUCUACACUCGGGUCGCUCCCACACUGUGGCGUGUACUUUUGUUCUCAAUAAAUUCCCGCUUUUGCUUUCCUCGUUC